CCUCACUCUCCCUCAUUAAUACUUUAGGAAUGAUUGCCAGGCUGUAGAUACACAUUUCUCUUCCUGAAGUCACUUAUAUAGUUCCUACAAGUUUAUUUAAAACUUCCUGUGUGGACAUUUUCAGCAGUCAUACUACUCCUGUUUAGUGUGUAUGGGUAUUAUGCUUAAAUGCAGACAUUUUUAAAUUAAUUUGCCACUUUACUGAUUGCAAUGUCUUCAGGGUCCUUACAAAUACCUAUAAGCAAUGUAUUUGGCCAUUUUUAUAUAUCUGUUUGUAUUUUGUCCCAGCUUUUGUCUGUGAGAAAUUGUAUUUUUGCUUUUAUACUAACAUUUUAGACCCUGUAUGAAAUAAUGCAUGAUAAAGAAUACUGUAUACCAUACCGAAAAGUUUUUCAUAAACAAAAUAUUUUCAUAAAGACUGAGUAAGUGGGAAAAAUAAAAAUGUAAAUUAUAGAUGGAAACAAGCAGACACAGAGCCCAUACAUAGCAUCAACUAUAAGGCGAAGUGGAGUUGGAACUUAGAAACCCUGAUGGGGGCAUACAGGUUACUGUAUAGCAACCGUGCUGGAUACAUACCUACUUAUCA